ensembl:lncRNA
CUCUGCUGCCUUUCUCAUGCGUCCAUCUGCUGAAUCUGGAUUCAUGAGAAAGUCCCCAGGUGGGGACAUGUGGGUCUACUUAAAGCAGAAUGCCUGGCUUGUUUGUCUAUUGCAACCCUUCUACUGCAUUCCCACAGUGCCGAUCCAGCCUCUGCUCAUGAGAUGGCGCUUAGAAAAGCUUCUCUCUCCCCUCUGCUCCUGUGACAAAGGUUCUUAUGCCUUUUCUUGAAAAUAUCAUGUGUUACUAACUUUGUGACUGGGCUCACAAAUUUCUUUCAAAAUUAGUGACUUGUUUUUUUGUGGAGUCUCUUAAUAAUGAUCAUUUUUUUAAUGCUCUUUGUGAUUUUGAUUUAAUAGAAAAGUAACUCUGCUUUCUUUGAAAAUAGUAUUAAAGCUUUGAUAGCUUCAUGCCAGGGCUUCCCUGGUGGCUCAGAUGGUGAAGACUCUGCCUGCAAUGCAGGAGACCUAGUUUGCAUCCCUGGGUCGGGAAGAUCCGUUGGAGAAGGUAAUGACAAUGCACUUCAGUAUUCUUGCCUGGAAAAUCACAUGGAUGGAGUAACCUGGCAGGCUACACCCCAUGGGGUCGCAAAGGGUCAGACAUGACUGAGCAACUAACACACAGUCUUUCCAUCCCUUCCUAACAAUUAUUGGCACUUCCAUUUACAGUCCAGUCUAUACACCAAGAAGAAGGUGAUCUUUUAAAAGUACAAAUCAGCUCACGUCCCUCAUUUGGUGAAACGCAUCCAAAGUUGCCUACCACUUCAAUGAGAUAAAAACCUCUUGCCAUGUCCGGCACGGUACCACAUAACCUGGCUUUGCCUCCAGUUUGACCUUGCUCUUCUCCCGGGACUAUGUGGUUCUAAGCACACUGGCUUUCUGGAUGGACCAUUCUGCCUUUAAGGGGAACUCAGUCCUGUCAUGGGGACUUCGUGCACUGCUCAGGAUGUUUUUCUCAAAAUUCAUUGCCAGGCUGGCUUUGCCUCCUCAUUAGUCUAUGUGGAACUAUGCAUUAUGGUCUGAAUUUUGUUUCUCCCCAAUUCAUAUAUUGGAGUACUAACCUUCAGCACCAUGGAAUGUGACUGUAUUAACUUUCCAGGGCUGCCAUAACAAAAUAUGACAGACUGCGUGGCUUAAACAACAGAAAGUUAUUUUUUCACAGUUCUGAAAGCUAGAAGUCCAAGGUCAAGAUGAUGACAAUUUCUCUUCUCCGGCAUCCUCUACCUUGGGCUGACAGUUAACCACCACCUUGAGCUGUGUGGUUAACCUUCCCUCUAUGGCUGUGUGUUUCUGGUGCCCUUUCCUUUUCUUAUAAGGAUGCCAGACCUAUUGGACUUAUAGUCGCAUCCUUACGAUUUUAUUUAACGUUAAUUCUCUCUAUAAAGAUCCUAUCUCCAAAGAUAGUCACAUUGUGGGUUGGGGGUUAACAUAUGAAUGUUUGUUUGUUUUGGGGCUUGGGACAGUUUUUUUUUUGACUGUGCCCCCAACCAGGAAUUGAACCCAGGUCACAGCAGUGCAAGCGCUGAGUCCUAACCAUUGGACCCCCAAGGAAUUCCCUUAACAUUCUGAUUUUGAAGUGACACAAUUCAAUCCAUAACACUGACUGUAUUUGGAGUUAGGCUUCUCAGAAUCUUUACAGCUGAGCCAAUGAGGAAGCCCUCUUAAAGAGGUAAUUAAGUUAACAUGAGUUCAAAGACUCCAUGAUCCUGUCCCUGAACGGUAAGCUCAUGAAAAAAGGGGUUUGUCGUGUUGUCUCUGAAUAUCUUCAGCACCCAGUGAGUGGACUGGCCCAUAGGAUUAUGCUCUGCCCAUUAAAUACAUAAGUGGGUGAUGGAUGGACUGACUGGGUAGUUAAGUGGAUAAAUCAUCUUCCAGACAACAGACUCAGAAGAAGUGAAUGUGGACUGGGUAAAUUGUGAGGAAACUUUCCCUCAAAGUGUCCUGCCUAGGGAAAAACAGUGAAAUCACAGAGACAGGAUGGUUUUAGGUCAAAGGGUAUUGGAAGGUGGAAGAGCCUGGGAGAAUGCAUGAGAGGAGAAAUAGAGACAAACCAGCUACAAUGACAGCUGUUGAGUGUUAGUUCAGUGUUAGUUGAACAACUACAGCUAUAGGGUUGGAAAUAAAAUGUAGUGGUCUUCCAUGUUGUUAUUGUUUAGUCUCAAACUCGUGUCCAACUCUGCAGCCCCAUGGAUAGUAGCAUGCCAGGCUCUUCUGUCCGCGGGAUUUCCCAGGCAAGAAUAAAUUGCCAUUUCCUUCUCCAAGGAUCUUCCCCACCCAGGGACAGAACUUGACUCUCCUGCAUUGGCAGGUGGAUUCUUUAUCAUCUGAGUCACCUGGGAAGCCCCAUGAGAGUGCAGCAAAUAGGAGGCUGGCUAUUGGCUUAGGAACCUGGUUGAAAGGGAAAGCAAGGGUAUCCACUAAUGUCCAAAAAACCCAGAUCUCUGGUUCUGACUGUAGUGGGGACCAGAUCUUGCUUUCUAAUGCAAUUCACCUGUCCGUUCAGUUCCAAAUGAUCGGGCCCUCCUUUCCUGUGCAUGAAUUGAGAAUGCCCCAGUCCUUGCUGCAGUCUGACAUCUCUCACCUCCACUCGCCACACAAACUCUCUCCAUGUAUCCCAGACACCUGGCAGUGUUGUCUGGUUUAUAUUUCUCCACUUGACCCCUUGCUGCAGAUUGUUGCCCAAGGUGACUCAGCCACGUUUUCUGCAGUCCCUAGUAUGAAGAAAUGACAUUCCAUUAAAAUGAUAGAGACCAGAAUUCUGGGAGGUGGAUCAUAGAGGAUCCUGCUGUGAUUUAUGUCUGAGAGUGUUUUGCCUAUGUUCUCCUCUAGGAGUUUUAUAGUUUCUGAUCUUACAUUUAGAUCUUUAAUCCAUUUUGAGUUUAUUUUUGUAUGCGAAGAUAGCAAUGACGACCCUGUAUGCAAGACAGGGAAAGAGACACAGAUGUGUAUAAUGGACUUUUGGACUCAGAGGGAGAGGGAGAGGGUGGGAUGAUUUGGGAGAAUGACAUUCUAACAUGUAUACUAUCAUGUGAAUUGAAUCGCCAGUCUAUGUCUGAUGCAGGAUGCAGCAUGCUUGGGGCUGGUGCAUGGGGAUGAC